GGCGGUAUAGCCAAGUGGUUAAGGCGACAGAUUAGAAUCAUGUGAUAGAAGUCACUGACUAGCAUCUGUUUCCCUCUGGGAGCGUAGGUUCGAACCCUACUGCCGUCG